rnacentral:rRNA from 1 species
GUGAGGAAUAUUGGACAAUGGGCGCAAGCCUGAUCCAGCCAUGCCGCGUGCAGGAAGACGCAUCUAUGGUGUGUAAACUGCUUUUGUACGGGAAGAAACACUCCCUCGUGAGGGAGCUUGACGGUACCGUAAGAAUAAGGAUCGGCUAACUCCGUGCCAGCAGCCGCGGUAAUACGGAGGAUCCAAGCGUUAUCCGGAAUCAUUGGGUUUAAAGGGUCCGUAGGCGGUUUAAUAAGUCAGUGGUGAAAGCCCAUCGCUCAACGAUGGAACGGCCAUUGAUACUGUUAGACUUGAAUUACAAGGAAGUAACUAGAAUAUGUAGUGUAGCGGUGAAAUGCUUAGAUAUUACAUGGAAUACCAAUUGCGAAGGCAGGUUACUAAGGCGAUACUGACGCUGAGGCACGAAAGCGUGGGGAUCGAACAGGAUUAGAAACCCCUGUAGUCC